GACGAACGCUGGCGGCGUGCCUAAUACAUGCAAGUAGAACGCUGAAGAGAGGAGCUUGCUCUUCUUGGAUGAGUUGCGAACGGGUGAGUAACGCGUAGGUAACCUGCCUGGUAGCGGGGGAUAACUAUUGGAAACGAUAGCUAAUACCGCAUAAAAUGGAUUAUCGCAUGAUAAUCCAUUGAAAGGUGCAAAUGCAUCACUACCAGAUGGACCUGCGUUGUAUUAGCUAGUUGGUGGGGUAACGGCUCACCAAGGCGACGAUACAUAGCCGACCUGAGAGGGUGAUCGGCCACACUGGGACUGAGACACGGCCCAGACUCCUACGGGAGGCAGCAGUAGGGAAUCUUCGGCAAUGGACGGAAGUCUGACCGAGCAACGCCGCGUGAGUGAAGAAGGUUUUCGGAUCGUAAAGCUCUGUUGUAAGAGAAGAACGAGUGUGAGAGUGGAAAGUUCACACUGUGACGGUAUCUUACCAGAAAGGGACGGCUAACUACCUG
rnacentral:rRNA from 1 species